UACAGUCAUAUCACAUUGAAACACUGGUUCCCUGUACGAUCACUGAAGUUAAGCAACAUCGAGCCUAGUCAGUACCUAGACGGGUGACCAUUUGGGAAUACCAGGUGCUGUAA